rnacentral:rRNA from 1 species
ACGGAAGGCAGCAGUGGGGAAUAUUGCACAAUGGGAGAAAUCCUGAUGCAGCGACGCCGCGUGAGUGAAGAAGUAUUUCGGUAUGUAAAGCUCUAUCAGCAGGGAAGAUAAUGACGGUACCUGACUAAGAAGCUCCGGCUAAAUACGUGCCAGCAGCCGCGGUAAUACGUAUGGAGCAAGCGUUAUCCGGAUUUACUGGGUGUAAAGGGUGCGUAGGUGGCAGGGCAAGUCAGAUGUGAAAGACCGGGGCUCAACUCCGGGGCUGCAUUUGAAACUGUCUUGCUGGAGUGCAGGAGGGGCAAGCGGAAUUCCUAGUGUAGCGGUGAAAUGCGUAGAUAUUAGGAGGAACACCGGUGGCGAAGGCGGCUUGCUGGACUGAUACUGACACUGAGGCACGAAAGCGUGGGGAGCAAACAGGAUUAGAUACCCUGGUA